GCCAGUAUGAUGUAGUGGUUAGCCUGCCUGCUUGAAAAGAUCAUGUGAUAUUAUUGGAUUUAUUUUUGAGGUCCCAGGUUCAAUUCCUGAAAUUGCCU